UUCUGCUUGGAGAUGCCGCUUUUCUGUCCUGUCAGACCACUGUUUCUUUUUCACCAAAACUUUCUGUUGUUCGUUAUAACUGUAUUUCUGCAAAAAUUCUAAUUUAUAUGUAUAUUCAGUAUCUUAAUGUAUUUGAUAAUUAUGCACGUGUUCAAUGUCAACCAUCUUUUCUAUCUGUCUCUGCUUGACCAACAGCUUUGUAAAAAUAACUGGGCUACUUCGAUAAGGUCAGAGCAAUUGAGUAAUACUUGCUAUAUCCUGUUAAUCUGCAUAAUUUCAUCACUGCUUUAUAAUCUUCCCUAUGUGAUGGGUGGCGGGGGGAGAGAAUUUCGCUAACAACAGUAAUCUAUUGAUAGGACUUGGACUAUGGUCUAUUUUUUAAGAACUUAAACCAAGCAUUUAGUGGAAUUCAAGGAGAAUUUGGGUUCCAGAAUGACUUUUAAUAUUGUCAAGAUUUAAUUUGCUCAGAUGUGAUUUCUGAUAGAAAAACUGUUCUUUGUGCAAAUGAGUAUUUGUUUGAAUUUCUUUUAAAACUGAGAAUAAACUGGUGAAUACUCUGAAAGCAUGGGGGAAAACAGAGAAACAGGGUUCAGCUGAGCCACUCAGAAGGUGGCAUAGUACUGUGCCUGGGUUUAGCAGACAUGAGUUACCCCAGGUGUCUUUAGGCAAGUUAUCUGAUCCCUCAGUGGUUCAGUCUGCUCCAUGGUGGGAAUAUAGCUGCUGCGUACCUCAGCAGUGCUUGUGGUAAUAAAUACCUGUAAAGACUGUGAGGUGACAGAGCUGGGUUAGUGUUGCACAAAUGCUCUUACAAGUAGAAAUGAGGACACAGUGAUAGUGUUCAGUUUUCAGCAGCAGAUUUUUUUUUUCCUCUUUCCCACUGGCUCCAAUGCCAGCACAAGCAGAGACGGAAAAAUUUCUCAGAAGUGCCAGCAGAGCAUUAGGAACUGAGCAGCAAGCAGGCUAGCUGGAUAUCAGUCAUGUCAACCGAAGUCUGAGAUUACUGUUUUCCUGUUCAGAAGACUGCCUCUGCAAUAUUUCCUGGCCGAGUAAGGGUGGAAGCCUUGGUCGCACCAGUUUUGACCAGAGUGCAUCUGGAAGUCCAGGUGAGUAUAGGCACAAGCUAAGGAACAGCACGCAAACACAUGGUGGACAUUAUACCAAAGAAAUCAAUUACAAGAUCACGAAGCAGUUGUCUUCUCAUUUCUGAAAUAUCAGCAAACCCUCCUCCGCAAAACUGAAAAUGUUUUGAAUAAUAAAAUGAAAGGUGAGAUUUUUCAGGCUUGGCUGGGGGAACAGCAUGAGUCCUCCCCACUACGAUGAAGAGGGACUGGAUCUCUGCAUCACCUGGGCAGCGCCACUGGGGACAUCAUAGCUGGGACUCUUCAGAUCGUCACAUGCCAAUAAGUGACAGCAGUGGAGGACUUCUGUGAAUGCUGGCCAUGCAUAGAUAGAGAAGGAUCUGUUUCAAAAACAAAAAAGUUCCUGAGCUGGUCUUCUGCGGGUGUCUGAUGGCAGCUUGUUCAAAUGUAAGUCGACACCCUUAGUUAACAGGUCUACCUGAGCGGCAGCGGUAGGACUGAUCCCCAUAACAGGACUUUGUAACGAACGCAUUGGUAGCAUCAUUUCACUGCAGGUUUUAUUACAUGCGAGUACUUACACCACAGUGACUUCCCAUCGCAUGAGGUGUUUGUCUUCUGAGGAUUAGCACAGCGCUGUGCCAUGAAGUCUGGUAUAGCUGAGUAAGUGGUUUAGUGUAAUCCUCCUGAGAAGGAUUGCUGUCCUGAACAGAUUCCUGGGAAGGCUCUGUGCUUGUACCAAGCUUUUAGAUGACUUUCAGUCAGGUUUUUGAGGGGGGGUGUUGGAGUUUCUGCAGCUUUUCUGCGAUGCAGUCUGUCUCCAAGACAUCUGGGCAGUGGCUGCGUCAGCAAAGACCGUCACAGAGCUUAAAGACAGUUGGUAUUGUUGUGUGAAGAAGACCUCAGUGAGUCAUCAGAUGAUCCAAGUAUGACACUGACAGGUGGGCACCCCAGCACAGAAUUCAGACAGGAUCAUGCCUGAACACUUGCGUUUGCUGUUGAUGUCUGGUGUAUAUAUAGAUGCUGAUUCUCAACAUACUCUUGUUUUGCAUUAAGGCACCUUCAGAACAGCAAAUCAUGUUCAGCACCACUCCAGGCAUGCUCUGCAGCAGCAGGGUGAAGAGUGCUGUUGCUGCAGUGCCCAGGCACUUGGAAACCUGUUUCCCAGUGUUUAGAAUAAAGCGCAAGCAGGAGCUCCUCAAAGUCA